rnacentral:rRNA from 1 species
CCUACGGGAGGCAGCAGUGAGGAAUAUUGGUCAAUGGCCGGAAGGCUGAACCAGCCAUGCCGCGUGAAGGGCAGGGGCCUAGGGGCGUUAAACCUCUUUUGUGCGGGAGCAAAAAUGGUCACGUGGGGCCAGACGAGAGGACCGUAAGAAUAAGGAGCGGCUAACUCCGUGCCAGCAGCCGCGGUAAUACGGGGGAUGCAAGCGUUAUCCGGAUUUAUUGGGGGUAAAGGGAGCGUAGAUGGUUUGUUAAGUCAGUUGUGAAAGUUUGCGGCUCAACCGUAAAAUUGCAAUUGAUACUGGCAGUCUUGAGUACCUUUGCGGUAGGCGGAAUUCGUGGUGUAGCGGUGAAAUGCUUAGAUAUCACGCAGAACCCCGAUUGCGAAGGCAGCUUACUAAACUGUGACUGACAUUGAUGCUCGAAAGUGUGGGUAUCAAACAGGAUUAGAUACCCGGGUAGUC